CGUAAUUAGAUUAGGGUUUUCUAAUUACUCAUAAAUUGAAAUAAUUAGGAUUAGGGUUUUCGAAUUGAUUAAGCUUUACCCUAAUUAACCUUAUACUUAAUAUCACUUGAGCAUUAUAAUUCUCCGUUAAUUUCCCAGAUUAGGGCUUCAAUUUAUCAGAAUCUGAAACUAGGGUUUUCAGAUCAAGUAUUAGGGUUUCAGAUUUGGAAUUAGGGUUUUGUAAUCAAUUUGCUAAGAUUAAC
rnacentral:lncRNA from 1 species